rnacentral:rRNA from 1 species
GACGAACGCUGGCGGCGUGCUUAACACAUGCAAGUCGAACGGAAAGGCCCUGCUUUUGUGGGGUGCUCGAGUGGCGAACGGGUGAGUAACACGUGAGUAACCUGCCCUUGACUUUGGGAUAACUUCAGGAAACUGGGGCUAAUACCGGAUAGGAGCUCCUGCUGCAUGGUGGGGGUUGGAAAGUUUCGGCGGUUGGGGAUGGACUCGCGGCUUAUCAGCUUGUUGGUGGGGUAGUGGCUUACCAAGGCUUUGACGGGUAGCCGGCCUGAGAGGGUGACCGGCCACAUUGGGACUGCGAUACGGACCAGACUCCUACGGGAGGCAGCAGUGGGGAACAUUGCACAAUGGGCGGAAGCCUGAUGCAGCAACGCCGCGUGCGGGAUGACGGCCUUCGGGUUGUAAACCGCUUUCGCCUGUGACGAAGCGUGAGUGACGGUAAUGGGUAAAGAAGCACCGGCUAACUACGUG